UACGGAGGGUGCGAGCGUUAAUCGGAAUUACUGGGCGUAAAGCGUGCGUAGACGGCUAUCUAAGUCGGGUGUGAAAGCCCCGGGCUCAACCUGGGAAUUGCAUUCGAGACUGAAUAGCUAGGGUACGGUAGAGGGAAGCGGAAUUUCCGGUGUAGCGGUGAAAUGCGUAGAUAUCGGAAGGAACAUCAGUGGCGAAAGCGGACUCCUGGACCAGUACCGACGUCAGGCACGAAAGCCGUGGGGAGCAAACAGGAAUUAGAACCGUCGGGUAGUCCAAGAACCGAAUGUAC
rnacentral:rRNA from 1 species